AUUUGAGUUACAGUAUGAGUGAUGGCCCUAGAGGAAGCUGUGCAGUGUUCGUUUCUGAGCAUCUUGUUAAAGUAAUACCUCCAUCACCCUGCCUAAUUGUUGAAAUAUUUUUCUUUAACGUUUAUGAGCAAAAAAAGCUAUGCAAAAACUACCUCCUGUGGCCUAAGUUUUCAAUUGCUAUGCAUUCUUUGUGCACUUAAAUCAGAUGAGUCUAGUGAUGCUUCAUUCGAG
rnacentral:lncRNA from 1 species